rnacentral:rRNA from 1 species
CGUGUAGGCGGCCAGACAGGUCCGUUGUGAAAACUAGAGGCUUAACCUCUAGACGUCGAUGGAAACCGUCUGGCUAGAGUCCGGAAGAGGGGAAUGGAAUUCCUGGUGUAGCGGUGAAAUGCGCAGAUAUCAGGAAGAACACCCGUGGCUAAGGCGGUUCUCUAGUACGGUACUGACGCUGAGACGCGAAAGCGUGGGGAGCGAACA